CAUGGCUCAGGAUGAACGCUGACAGAAUGCUUAACACAUGCAAGUCGAUGGGGAAGUGGUGCUUGCACCAUGGCAACCAUGGCGGACGGGUGAGUAACGCGUAAGGGACUUACCUGCAGGACUGGGAUAACAGGGGGAAACUCCUGACAAGACCGGAUAAUGUCAUGGAGCUGCAUGGCUUUAUGAUGAAAGGAGACGCCUGCGGAGAGCCUUGCGUCCUAUUAGCUAGUUGGUGAGGUAAUGGCUCACCAAGGCGAAGAUAGGUAGCCGGCCUGAGAGGGUGGACGGCCACAAGGGGACUGAGAUACGGCCCUUACUCCUACGG
rnacentral:rRNA from 1 species